rnacentral:lncRNA from 1 species
GUUCUUAUCGAGUGACACGUUUCCUCCAUCCCAUCCCAUCCCGCUCCAACUAGACUGAGAAAGGCAAGGUCCUAUUUAUUCUUUGUACACCCAGGCCUUGCACUGGCGCCUGGUGUGCAGUAACGAAGGCUGGGUGAGUUCAUCAGUGAAACUGCCUGAUAACCGCUGCAUCCAUCAGGACUUCAGGAGAGAGGACCAAUUAUUGGAUAGUGGCCAAAGUGACAAUUUUAAUCUCUGAGCCACAGAAGGUGUACCACUGAAUUUGCUAGUGCUAAAAUGCACAAAAGAGGCAUCCCCACAAUGACCGCAGACUACAGUGUGACGGGUAUGACUGUCAGAAGACCAGCAAGACAAGCAGCAAACUGAGAAACCCGAGGAACUAAUCAAACUAAUUUGGAAGAUAACAUGGCAGAAGACCCCGAGAAAGCACUGCAAAAUCACUAAGAAAUAAAAGUUCAGGCCAGGUG